CCCUUAGAUGUUCUGGGCUGCACACGCGCUACACUGAAGGGAUCAGCGUGUUCUUUUCCUGGUCCGAAAGGAUCGGGUAACCCGCUGAACCCCCUUCGUGGUAGGGAUCGGAGCUUGCAAUUAUUCUCCGUGAACCAGGAAUUCCCAGUAAGCGCAAGUCAUAAGCUUGCGUUGAUUACGUCCCUGCCCUUUGUACACACCGCCCGUCGCUACUACCGAUUGGACGUUUUAGUGAGGAUUUUGGACUGAGCCAAUGGUGGUUCACACCACUGUUGUGCAUGGAAAGAUCUCCAAACUUGNGNGUUUAUNGGAAGUAAAANUCGUANCA
rnacentral:rRNA from 1 species